UACAGAGGUCCCGAGCGUUGUUCGGAUUUAUUGGGCGUAAAGGGCGCGUAGGCGGCCUUGCAAGUGGCGGGUGAAAUCCCUCGGCUUAACCGAGGAACUGCCUGCCAGACUGCAAGGCUCGAGACCGGGAGAGGUGAGUGGAAUUCCCAGUGUAGCGGUGAAAUGCGUAGAUAUUGGGAGGAACACCAGUGGCGAAGGCGGCUCACUGGACCGGAACUGACGCUGAGGCGCGAAAGCGUGGGGAGCAAACAGG
rnacentral:rRNA from 1 species